AGAGUUUGAUCCUGGCUCAGGACGAACGCUGGCGGCGCGCCUAACACAUGCAAGUCGAACGAGAGAUGAGGAGCUUGCUCUUCAAAUCGAGUGGCGAACGGGUGAGUAACGCGUGAGGAACCUGCCUCAAAGAGGGGGACAACAGUUGGAAACGACUGCUAAUACCGCAUAAGCCCACGGCUCGGCAUCGAGCAGAGGGAAAAGGAGCAAUCCGCUUUGAGAUGGCCUCGCGUCCGAUUAGCUAGUUGGUGAGGUAACGGCCCACCAAGGCGACGAUCGGUAGCCGGACUGAGAGGUUGAACGGCCACAUUGGGACUGAGACACGGCCCAGACUCCUACGGGAGGCAGCAGUGGGGAAUAUUGCACAAUGGGGGAAACCCUGAUGCAGCGACGCCGCGUGGAGGAAGAAGGUCUUCGGAUUGUAAACUCCUGUUGUUGAGGAAGAUAAUGACGGUACUCAACAAGGAAGUGACGGCUAACUACGUGCCAGCAGCCGCGGUAAAACGUAGGUCACAAGCGUUGUCCGGAAUUACUGGGUGUAAAGGGAGCGCAGGCGGGAAGACAAGUUGGAAGUGAAAUCUAUGGGCUCAACCCAUAAACUGCUUUCAAAACUGUUUUUCUUGAGUAGUGCAGAGGUAGGCGGAAUUCCCGGUGUAGCGGUGGAAUGCGUAGAUAUCGGGAGGAACACCAGUGGCGAAGGCGGCCUACUGGGCACCAACUGACGCUGAGGCUCGAAAGUGUGGGUAGCAAACAGGAUUAGAUACCCUGGUAGUCCACACCGUAAACGAUGAUUACUAGGUGUUGGAGGAUUGACCCCUUCAGUGCCGCAGUUAACACAAUAAGUAAUCCACCUGGGGAGUACGACCGCAAGGUUGAAACUCAAAGGAAUUGACGGGGGCCCGCACAAGCAGUGGAGUAU
rnacentral:rRNA from 1 species